ensembl:snRNA U6 U6 spliceosomal RNA
GCUCACUUUGACAGUGCAUACAUUAAAACUGGAGAAGUACAGAGAAAAUUGGCUAGGUUCCUGAGCACAGAUGACUUGGAAACUCAUGAGGCACAUAUAUUUUUG